GACGAACGCUGGCGGCGUGCCUAAUACAUGCAAGUCGAGCGGACUAAUGGGAGCUUGCUCCCGUUAGUUAGCGGCGGACGGGUGAGUAACACGUGGGCAACCUACCUGUAAGACUGGGAUAACUUCGGGAGACCGGAGCUAAUACCGGAUGACAUAAAGGAACUCCUGUUCCUUUAUUGAAAGAUGGCUUCGGCUAUCACUUACAGAUGGGCCCGCGGCGCAUUAGCUAGUUGGUGAGGUAACGGCUCACCAAGGCGACGAUGCGUAGCCGACCUGGGGGGGUGAUCUGCCACACUGGGACUGAGACACGGCCCAGACUCCUACGGGAGGCAGCAGUAGGGAAUCUUCCGCAAUGGACGAAAGUCUGACGGAGCAACGCCGCGUGAGCGAUGAAGGCCUUCGGGUCGUAAAGCUCUGUUGUUAGGGAAGAAUAAGUGCUAGUUAAAUAAGCUGGCACCUUGACGGUACCUAACCAGAAAGCCACGGCUAACUACGUGCCAGCCGCCGCCGUAA
rnacentral:rRNA from 1 species